AUUUGCUUUGCUCCAUCCCUGCUCCAGAAGAAAUCUCUCUUUCUCAGCUAAUAAGAAAUGAACUUACUCUUUGCUCCAGUCACGGGAGUCAUUGUUCUGACUUCUUGUUCAGGGGUGCAUUCCCAUUCAUCAGUAUUUUGCUGUUUUUUACUGAUCUGUUGUGUCAUAACUAUAAAAAUGUGUUAAUAAAAAACAGAUGUUCAUAGCAAUAGCUUAGAGUUUCCUUUCUCCUUCAAUUUCUAAUCAGCUUAACAAAAAAAAAAAAAAAAAGUCACAGCUCAAAGCAAUGUUCCAAACACUUGCUGAAAUACUUGGCGGAAAAGCUCAAAAAGUCUUUAAAAAGUCUUUUUAAAAGUCUUUAAAAAAACAAAUAGACAAAAAAAAUCAUUAAGAAACAAAGAUUGAAAAUCACAGCUGAGAGCAGAAUUUGCAGGAAUUGAAACUUGAACUACAGUGUGCGCACUAACCAAAACUCAGCAGAUAGGAAUUUGGGACCUAAUCUUGAAAGCCUUGACUAACCCCAAAGAAGUCAUGGACAAGUCAUGUCUCCCAAUGACAUAAGCAGAGCCAAGAUGUCACUUCACUUCCAGUUCUCACUGCCUGGCUCAACUUUAAUGAUACUAUAAUAAGGGCUUCUAAAUUUUGGACUUGUGUAUCUAGCGCACAUACCAUAAGAACUGUAUUUCACCACUUUUAGAGAACGCCAGAUUAACCAAUAUUUUCAACAGCAUUUCUUGUUAUGGAACAUACCCUCCCAAACUCCCAUUCUUCAGUUACACAUCUGUCUGCUUGGAACAUAAAGUCUUGGACUGUUAUCUUCACAUGUGACUCCAAACAACAGGGAAGAAAACCCUCUGAAAGAACACCACAAAAAGAAAACAGAAGUGCAGCUUUCACUUGGGCAGCAGCAGCCCAAUCGUAUUACUAGAGCUCCUCGGAAGAAGCCACAGUGACACUGCAGUAAUCUCGGGAGGAGCCACACAGGGGACAGGUCACCCUGGAGGUAAAGGCUGGAGUUGCUAAGCAGGAAAGCACAAGGAGAAAACAGUGAUAUUUUCUGAAUGGACAAUUGAGGAUGUGUCUUCAUAUUUUCUAGGACAAAUACACACCUUUCUCCUGCACUCCCAGGUGGCUGGAUAACGCCCAGCGGCAUAGCUACAAGUAAGCUACGCUGAGAAAGGCUUACCACUUUGGGCUCAGCACCACGCAAGUGCAGCUACACGGCCACUAGAACGGAGCCAGCUCGUGUCUUUCUGGCUUGGCAUGAGCGCCUGCUUGCAGGAGAGAAGAGCAAGUGCACGUCUGCUUGAAACUGUGAUGCAAGUUAUUUUAAAACUGAAGUGAUGCUUAUUUACAGUAAUAUUACACAUUUACCAUAAAAUACAUUAUUUAUGCUGUGGAUUAACUGUAUUUGCUCAGUCAUUUUUCCCUUUUCUCAGGAUGCUGGUAUUUUGAGACUACAAAUUUCUCAGGUGUUUUAAACCCUAAUUUCUGCAGCUGAAACAAGUGGGAUCUAAAGGUACACAGCAGCUCUGAAACUCAACCAUCCCAUUUCCCACAAG
rnacentral:lncRNA from 1 species